AGUGGCGGACGGGUGAGUAACGCGUGGGUAACCUGCCUCAUACAGGGGGAUAACAGUUAGAAAUGACUGCUAAUACCGCAUAAGCGCACGGUUUCGCAUGGAACAGUGUGAAAAACUCCGGUGGUAUGAGAUGGACCCGCGUCUGAUUAGCUGGUUGGCGGGGUAACGGCCCACCAAGGCGACGAUCAGUAGCCGGCCUGAGAGGGUGAACGGCCACAUUGGGACUGAGACACGGCCCAAACUCCUACGGGAGGCAGCAG
rnacentral:rRNA from 1 species